rnacentral:misc_RNA from 1 species
GAUGAAGAACGUAGCGAAAUGCGAUAAGUAAUGUGAAUUGCAGAAUUCAGUGAAUCAUCGAGUCUUUGAACGCACAUUGCGCCCCCUGGUAUACCGGGGGGCAUGCCUGUCCGAGCGUCAUUGCCGCCCUCAAGCACGGCUUGUGUGUUGGGCCCCCGCCCCCCGGCUUCGGGGGGCGGGCCCGAAAGGCAGCGGCGGCACCGCGUCCGGUCCUCGAGCGUAUGGGGCUUCGUCACCCGCUCUGUAGGCCCGGCCGGCGCCCGCCGGCGACCCCAAUCAAUCUUUCCAGGUUGACCUCGGAUCAGGUAGGGAUACCCGCUGAACUUAAGCAUAUCAAUAAGCGGAGGA